rnacentral:misc_RNA from 1 species
UCAUGACUGGGGUGAAGUCGUAACAAGGUAGCGCUAGGGGAACCUGGCGCUGGAUCACCUCCUUAAACGAUGAUUACUCACGAUGAGUGUCCACACAGAUUGAUAGUUCACAAGCGAAAGCUUGUAGCUAACAUAGCUCUUUAACAAUUUGGAAAGCUGACAAAACAAUCUUUUAAGAUUGUUUGUAAAGUUCUCAAUGUUUGUCUUUAUGACAAACACCAAAAAACACAUUCAAGUGUUCUUGGGAAUAUCACUUUUACAGUGAUUAUUCGAAAUUGAGUCCGGCAAAAUCGAGUCUGCAUCAUGUAUAAAAAUUGCAGACAACUUUGGUGAUUUGAUUAUCAACUCGAAACUCCUUCGGGUUGUAU